AGAUAUGAAGGCAAUCUGACUGUGACAUCUGUCACCCCAUUGAUCACCAGGGUUGAAUCUGCUUAUCUUGCUAGCUAGGAAGAUGUCCCCUUCCUUCUUCUCCUUCUGCAUGUGCUUCCCUCCCAAAGCUGCAAGUUUGGUGGAACAAGAUGGCCUUCCCCAAACAGAGAUGAACCAUCCUGUCGAAGGUAUAUUAAUAGUUGUGCUCCCCUGCUAGAACCUCCAAACAAGCUCUCACGAUAGCAAUUUUACUAUUUGUAUUGAGGGAUUAAUAAUUUACAUUAAGUUCAAUUAUUGGUUGAUAAAUACAAUUUGUCAGU
rnacentral:snRNA from 1 species